UACGAAGGGUGCAAGCGUUGUUCGGAUUUAUUGGGCGUAAAGGGUGCGUAGGCGGGCAAUUAAGUCAGAUGUGAAAUCUCGGGGCUCAACCCCGAACGUGCGUCUGAAACUGAUUGUCUAGAAUAUCGAAGGGGUCAGAGGAAUUUCACGUGUAGGGGUGAAAUCCGUAGAGAUGUGAAGGAACACCAGAGGCGAAGGCGUCUGGCUGGGCGAUUAUUGACGCUGAGGCACGAAAGCGUGGGGAUCAAACAGG
rnacentral:rRNA from 1 species